CAGCCGCCACGGUAAUACGUAGGGUGCAAGCGUUAAUCGGAAUUACUGGGCGUAAAGCGUGCGCAGGCGGUUAUAUAAGACAGAUGUGAAAUCCCCGGGCUCAACCUGGGAACUGCAUUUGUGACUGUAUAGCUAGAGUACGGCAGAGGGGGAUGGAAUUCCGCGUGUAGCAGUGAAAUGCGUAGAUAUGCGGAGGAACACCGAUGGCGAAGGCAAUCCCCUGGGCCUGUACUGACGCUCAUGCACGAAAGCGUGGGGAGCAAACAGGAUUAGAUACCCCUGUAGUCCCUGUCUCUUAUAA
rnacentral:rRNA from 1 species